rnacentral:rRNA from 1 species
UACGUAGGGUGCGAGCGUUUGUCCGGAAUUAUUGGGCGUAAAGAGCUCGUAGGCGGUCUGUCGCGUCGAAUGUGAAAAUCCGGGGCUCAACCCCGGACCUGCAUUCGAUACGGGCAGACUAGAGUUCGGUAGGGGAGUCUGGAAUUCCUGGUGUAGCGGUGAAAUGCGCAGGAUAUCAGGAGGAACACCGGUGGCGAAGGCGGGACUCUGGGCCGAUGACUGACGUGAGGAGCGAAAGCGUGGGGAGCAAACAGG